rnacentral:sRNA from 1 species
GCUGGGUGUGGUUGCACAUGCCUGUAAUCCCAGCACCUAGGGAGGCUGAGACAGGAGGAUUGGGAGUUCAAAGCCAGCCUCAGCAAAAGUAAGGCACUAAGCAAUUCAGUGAGACCCUGUCUCUA